rnacentral:rRNA from 1 species
CACAUAAGAAGCACCGGCUAACUCCGUGCCAGCAGCCGCGGUAAUACGGAGGGUGCGAGCGUUAAUCGGAAUUACUGGGCGUAAAGGGUGCGUAGGUGGUUGAUUAAGUUAUCUGUGAAAUUCCUGGGCUUAACCUGGGACGGUCAGAUAAUACUGGUUGACUCGAGUAUGGGAGAGGGUAGUGGAAUUUCCGGUGUAGCGGUGAAAUGCGUAGAGAUCGGAAGGAACACCAGUGGCGAAGGCGGCUACCUGGCCUAAUACUGACACUGAGGCACGAAAGCGUGGGGAGCAAACAGGAUU